AUUGAACGCUGGCGGCAGGCUUAACACAUGCAAGUCGAGCGGGGUGAUGGUGCUUGCACUAUCACUUAGCGGCGGACGGGUGAGUAAUGCUUAGGAAUCUGCCUAUUAGUGGGGGACAACAUCUCGAAAGGGAUGCUAAUACCGCAUACGUCCUACGGGAGAAAGCAGGGGAUCACUUGUGACCUUGCGCUAAUAGAUGAGCCUAAGUCGGAUUAGCUGGUUGGUGGGGUAAAGGCCUACCAAGGCGACGAUCUGUAGCGGGUCUGAGAGGAUGAACCGCCACACUGGGACUGAGACACGGCCCAGACUCCUACGGGAGGCAGCAGUGGGGAAUAUUGGACAAUGGGGGGAACCCUGAUCCAGCCAUGCCGCGUGUGUGAAGAAGGCCUUGUGGUUGUAAAGCACUUUAAGCGAGGAGGAGGCUCUUUUGGUUAAUACCCAAGAUGAGUGGACGUUACUCGCAGAAUAAGCACCGGCUAACUCUGUGCCAGCCGCCGCAGUAA
rnacentral:rRNA from 1 species